rnacentral:tRNA from 1 species
UUAGAAGAAACCAAUAAUGAGGUAUCUUAAUGUUAAUAAGAAUAAAGACUAAUAAAGUCCUUCUAAA